rnacentral:rRNA from 1 species
CAGUAGCCGCGGGAAUACGAAGGGGGCUAGCGUUGCUCGGAAUCACUGGGCGUAAAGGGUGCGUAGGCGGGUCUUUAAGUCAGGGGUGAAAUCCUGGAGCUCAGCUCCAGAACUGCCUUUGAUACUGAAGAUCUUGAGUUCGGGAGAGGUGAGUGGAACUGCGAGUGUAGAGGUGAAAUUCGUAGAUAUUCGCAAGAACACCAGUGGCGAAGGCGGCUCACUGGCCCGAUACUGACGCUGAGGCACGAAAGCGUGGGGAGCAAACAGGAUUAGAUACCCCCGUAGUCCCUGUCUCUUAUAC